AUGUACAAUAACUGCCAACAGCAACCUUCUUGGUAGUGUAUGCAUCCUGUUGUCUGUAUGGGUUGUCCUAAAACAUCUUGAAGAUAGUA
ensembl:snoRNA Gm24000 predicted gene, 24000